rnacentral:lncRNA from 1 species
AGGCCCCUUCUUCAUUUUGUGAAUCCAGCAAACUCCCCAAGUGCCCUGGGCCAGGCCUGUGCUCAAUACUAGGCACAGGAAUGACUGGCAUAGUCCUUGCCCUGAGACAUGAAUUCUAAGCUCCAACAGGAAGAAGGCUCCCAGGUGACCCACAGCCAGGAGACAGGGCAGACACAGUGCGGGGGAAGCCGGGGUGUGGGUGCAUUUAGCGCCUUUUAGUGGGGACGAGGAUGGAAAAGCAGGAGGGUGCCAGGCGGGGGGACGCAGGGGCCCUGCUGGGGCUGUCUGCUGCAACAGGAGCACAGAGGGCAGGGGCAGCCACAGAGCAGAGGCCUGGGACUGGGAGAAGGGGGCUCCUAGGCAUC